UGUGUAGACUCAUCAACUAUACCAGUCCUCUGUUCCUGGUCUCUGGAGCUUCAAUUUGGGAAAGUGACCCAUUAGCUUCUGAGGACCAGGGUGAGAGAGGGCAAACUUGAAUGCCCUUCACAAUGGAGAGAUGUGUGCAGACCGGACAGACAUCAGUUCCUUUAUCAGUGCACAGGUAGCUGCAAUAUGCUUCCUGGAAUCCUCUCUCAAAUAAACUGCUUGCCUCCAAAUCCUUGUCUCAGGCCUGCAUGUGGAGAGAUAAAACCCAGACAAAGAGGCAGACAUGAGCAGAUGAGCUCCCCCGAACAGGAGACAAGUGGGCUGAGAGGUGAAGGAAGAGGAUGAGGGCAGCCACGAACGCUCAAUGAGACAUGACAAGUCAAGUGUGGAGCCCAGGCCCUUCACCCAGAGGAGCUCAAAAAAUAUUAGCAGCCGUUACCAUUGGAGCCUCUGCCUCCUAAACCUGCCUCAAUAUCUAUGGAGGGUGGGAGCAGAGUCACUUUUCCUCACUGGACCUCAGUUUACUCCUCAGAAAGACAGCAGUGAUGAUGCCCUCUCAAGAUAUCCUCUAACUCCAGAAUCCCUGUCUCUAUUGAUCGUGUAGGAUGAGGCAGUCCAAGUUAAAACAAACACUUUGUUCUUAGUAUCUCAUUUCAUUUUCAUAAAAGCCUUAGAGGACACACGCUUUUCUUAUCCUCAUCUUACAUAAAGGUAAACCAAGGCACAGAGGGCUCAAAAGGUGAGGAGGGAUUCAAACCUGGCUGUCUAGACCCAUUGCCCACAUGGCUAACCACCCCAUAACCUGCAAGGAAAAAUGAUCGUUGUCAUUCCUUCUGCAAAAGAAGGAUGGCUGCUUGUUUCACAAAGGUUAAAGUUAUUUAGCAAGGGGAGCUCAAAGGGCUUUGACUGCAUUGCAGCCUGGGAGUCAGAGCAGGAAUGGAAAACAACCAUGAGCCGGCAUUGUGUCCGGACCCUUCCAGGGGUUCCUUGAAAGGGGCUAUUUUCCUUUUAUUCCUAUGCAGGGGUUGGCAAACUUUUUCUGUAAAAGGCCAGAGAAUAAAUAGUUUAGGCUCUGCAGGC
ensembl:lncRNA LINC01747 long intergenic non-protein coding RNA 1747